rnacentral:rRNA from 1 species
GUUUGAUCCUGGCUCAGAAUCAACGCUGGCGGCGUGCCUAACACAUGCAAGUCGGACGCGAAAGCGGCUUCGGCCGCAAGUAGAGUGGCAAACGGGUGAGUAACACGUGGGUGACCUGCCUUCGAGUGGGGGAUAACGUCUCGAAAGGGACGCUAAUACCGCAUAACAUCCCGCCUUUGGACAGGCGGAGAUCAAAGCCGGGGACCGCAAGGCCUGGCGCUUGAAGAGGGGCCCGCGCCGGAUUAGCUAGUUGGUGAGGUAACGGCCCACCAAGGCGACGAUCCGUAGCCGGCCUGAGAGGGCGGACGGCCACACUGGGACUGAGACACGGCCCAGACUCCUACGGGAGGCAGCAGUGGGGAAUUGUUCGCAAUGGGCGCAAGCCUGACGACGCAACGCCGCGUGGAGGACGAAGAUCUUCGGAUCGUAAACUCCUGUCGAGCGGGACGAAAGAUUCGGGACCUAACACGUCUCGAGAGUGACGGUACCGCUAAAGGAAGCCCCGGCUAACUCCGUGCCAGCAGCCGCGGUAAUACGGGGGGGGCCAGCGUUGUUCGGAAUUACUGGGCGUAAAGGGCGCGUAGGCGGCCUUCUAAGUCAGACGUGAAAUCCCUCGGCUCAACCGGGGAACUGCGUCUGAUACUGGAAGGCUUGAAUCCGGGAGAGGGAUGCGGAAUUCCAGGUGUAGCGGUGAAAUGCGUAGAUAUCUGGAGGAACACCGGUGGCGAAGGCGGCAUCCUGGACCGGUAUUGACGCUGAGGCGCGAAAGCCAGGGGAGCAAACGGGAUUAGAUACCCCGGUAGUCCUGGCCCUAAACGAUGGAUGCUUGGUGUGGCGGGUAUCGAUCCCUGCCGUGCCGGAGCUAACGCGUUAAGCAUCC